GCAUAUCAAUAAGCGGAGGAAAAGAAACUAACAAGGAUUCCCCUAGUAACGGCGAGUGAAGCGGGAUGAGCUCAAAUUUGUAAUCUGGUGGACUCAGUUCAUCCGAGUUGUAAUCUAUAGAAAAGUUUUCCGCGUCGGACCGUGUCUAAGUCCCUUGGAACAGGGUGUCAGAGAGGGUGAGAAUCCCGUGCUUGAUACGACCACCGAUGCUAUGUGAUACUUUUUCAACGAGUCGAGUUGUUUGGGAAUGCAGCUCAAAAUGGGUGGUAAAUUCCAUCUAAAGCUAAAUAUUGGCGAGAGACCGAUAGCGAACAAGUACCGUGAGGGAAAGAUGAAAAGCACUUUGGAAAGAGAGUUAAACAGUACGUGAAAUUGUUAAAAGGGAAACGAUUGAAGUCAGUCGUGCUCUCUGGGACUCAGCCAGUUCUUCUGGUGUAUUUCCCAGUGAGCGGGUCAACAUCAGUUUAGAUCGCUGGAUAAGGUCAUUAGGAAUGUGGCUCCCUCGGGAGUGUUAUAGCCUAGUGUCGCAUACAGUGGUUUAGACUGAGGAACGCAGCUCGCCUUUAUGGCCGGGGUUCGCCCACGUCCGAGCUUAGGAUGUUGACAUAAUGGCUUUAAACGACCCGUCUUGAAACACGGACC
rnacentral:rRNA from 1 species